CAGCACCUCAAGUGGUCAGGAUGAUUAUUGGGCCUAAAGCAUCCGUAGCCGGCGCUGUAAGUUUUCGGUUAAAUCUGUACGCUCUACGUACAGGCUGCCGGGAAUACUGCAGCGCUAGGGAGUGGGAGAGGUAGACGGUACUCGGUAGGAAGGGGUAAAAUCCUUUGAUCUAUUGAUGACCACCUGUGGCGAAGGCGGUCUACCAGAACACGUCCGACGGUGAGGGAUGAAAGCUGGGGGAGCAAACCGGAUUAGAUACCCGAGUAGUCC
rnacentral:rRNA from 1 species